CCUACGGGUGGCAGCAGUGGGGAAUAUUGCACAAUGGGGGAAACCCUGAUGCAGCGACGCCGCGUGAGUGAAGAAGUAUUUCGGUAUGUAAAGCUCUAUCAGCAGGGAAGAAAAUGACGGUACCUGAUUAAGAAGCACCUGCUAACUACGUGCCAGCAGCCGCGGUAAUACGUAGGGGCCACGCGUUAUCCGGAUUUACUGGGUGGAAAGGGAGCGUAGACGGCAGCACAAGUCUGGAGUGAAAUGCCGGGGCUUAACCCCGGAACUGCUUUGGAAACUGUGCAGCUAGAGUGCAGAAGAGGUAAGUGGAAUUCCUGGUGUAGCGGUGAAAUGCGUAGAUAUUAGGAGGAACACCAGUGGCGAAGGCGGCUUACUGGACUGUAACUGACGUUGAGGCUCGAAAGCGUGGGGAGCAAACAGGAUUAGAUACCCGUGUAGUC
rnacentral:rRNA from 1 species